AACUAACGCUGGCGGCGUGCCUAACACAUGCAAGUCGUACGAGAAAGUUGGCUUCGGCCGAUGAGUAAAGUGGCGCACGGGUGAGUAAUGCGUGGAUAAUCUGCCCUUUAGUUGGGAAUAACGUACCGAAAGGUGCGCUAAUACCUGAUAAUACUGCAUAACUACUGUUGUGUAGUCAAAGAAGGCCUCUGUUUACAAGCUUUUGCUGAAGGAUGAGUCCGCGUACCAUUAGCUGGUUGGUGGGGUAAUGGCCUACCAAGGCUACGAUGGUUAGCUGGUCUGAGAGGAUGAUCAGCCACACUGGAACUGAGACACGGUCCAGACUCCUACGGGAGCAGCAGUGAGGAAUAUUGCGCAAUGGGGGCAACCCUGACGCAGCAACGCCGCGUGAGUGAAGAAGGCCUUCGGUGUAAAGCUCUGUUGAAGGGAAGGAUAAUGACGGUACCUUCGAGGAAGCCACGGCUAACUACGUAGCCAGCAGCCGCGGUAAAACG
rnacentral:rRNA from 1 species